AGAGUUUGAUCCUGGCUCAGAACGAACGCUGGCGGCGUGCCUAACACAUGCAAGUCGAGCGCGAAUGGGGAGCAAUCCCCUAGUAGAGCGGCGAACGGGUGAGUAACACGUGGGUGAUCUGCCUCCGAGUGGGGAACAACAGCGGGAAACUGCUGCUAAUACCGCAUGACAUCAUCGAGUCACAUCGAUGAUCAAAGCCGGGGACCGCAAGGCCUGGCGCUUGGAGAGGAGCCCGCGUCCGAUUAGCUAGUUGGCGGGGUAAUGGCCCACCAAGGCUCCGAUCGGUAGCCGGCCUGAGAGGGCGGACGGCCACACUGGGACUGAGACACGGCCCAGACUCCUACGGGAGGCAGCAGUGGGGAAUUUUUCGCAAUGGGGGAAACCCUGACGAAGCAACGCCGCGUGGGGGAUGAAGGUCUUCGGAUCGUAAACCCCUGUCGAUCGGGACGAAAGCACCCGACCUAACACGUCGGAGUGUUGACUUACCGGUGAGAAGCCAC
rnacentral:rRNA from 1 species